rnacentral:ncRNA from 1 species
CCGUGGAGGGUGAAUAGAUAGAUACCUAUCUUGUUGAUGGUGAACUAUGCUUGUGAAGGUUGAAGCCAGAGGAAACUCUGGUGGAGGACCGUAGCGAUUCUGACGUGCAAAUCGAUCGUAUAACGUGAGUAUAGGGGCGAAAGACUAAUCGAACUAUCUAGUAGCUGGUUCCCUCCGAAGUUUCCCUCAGGAUAGCUGGCAUUCUGAGAAAUAAACAGUUUUAUCCGGUAAAGCGAAUGAUUAGAGGCAUUGGGGAUAAAUCAUCCUCAACCUAUUCUCAAACUUUAAAUGGGUGAGAAGCUUAACUCGCUUAAUUGGAGUUUUGCAUUGAAUGUGAGUGCCAAGUGGGCCAUUUUUGGUAAGCAGAACUGGCGCUGUGGGAUGAACCAAACUCACUGCCUUCUCGUGGCGGGGGUGUUGUUUACGAAAAUGAGAGGACGAAAAGCGAAUGUCCGGCGCUUUAACCGGAUUCCAAACCAAUGGUGCACAUGG